rnacentral:rRNA from 1 species
AGGACGAACGCUGGCGGCGUGCCCAACACAUGCAAGUCGAACGGGGUGAAGCCCUUCGGGACUUCACUUAGUGGCGAACGGGUGAGUAACGCGUGAGGAACCUGCCUUUCAGUGGGGGACAACAGUUGGAAACGACUGCUAAUACCGCAUGAUACUUUUUGAUGGCAUCAUCGAAAAGUCAAAGAUUUAUUGCUGAAAGAUGGCCUCGCGUCUGAUUAGCUAGUUGGCGGGGUAACGGCCCACCAAGGCGACGAUCAGUAGCCGGUCUGAGAGGAUGAACGGCCACAUUGGGACUGAGAUACGGCCCAGACUCCUACGGGAGGCAGCAGUGGGGAAUAUUGGGCAAUGGGCGAAAGCCUGACCCAGCGACGCCGCGUGAGGGAAGAAGGUCUUCGGAUUGUAAACCUUUGUUGAUAGGGACGAACAGAUGACGGUACCUAUCGAGGAAGCCACGGCUAACUACGUG